CCUACGGGUGGCAGCAGUGAGGAAUAUUGGUCAAUGGACGAGAGUCUGAACCAGCCAAGUAGCGUGAAGGAUGACUGCCCUAUGGGUUGUAAACUUCUUUUAUAUGGGAAUAAAAUGUUCCACGUGUGGGAUUUUGUAUGUACCAUAUGAAUAAGGAUCGGCUAACUCCGUGCCAGCAGCCGCGGUAAUACGGAGGAUCCGAGCGUUAUCCGGACUUAUUGGGUUUAAAGGGAGCGUAGGUGGAUUGUUAAGUCAGUUGUGAAAGUUUGCGGCUCAACCGUAAAAUUGCAGUUGAAACUAGCAGUCUUGAGUACAGUAGAGGUGAGCGGAAUUCGAGGUGUAGCGGUGAAAUGCUUAGAUAUCACGAAGAACUCCGAUUGCGAAGGCAGUUCACUGGACUGCAACUGACACUGAGGCUCGAAAGUGUGGGUAUCAAACAGGAUUAGAUACCCCUGUAGUC
rnacentral:rRNA from 1 species